rnacentral:rRNA from 1 species
ACUUAGGAAUCUGCCCAUUAGUGGGGGACAACUAGAAGAAAUUCUAGCUAAUACCGCAUACGCCCUACGGGGGAAAGGCGGGGGAGUCUUCGGACCUCGCGCUAAUGGAUGAGCCUAAGUCGGAUUAGCUUGUUGGUGAGGUAAUGGCUCACCAAGGCGACGAUCCGUAGCUGGUCUGAGAGGACGAUCAGCCACACUGGGACUGAGACACGGCCCAGACUCCUACGGGAGGCAGCAGUGGGGAAUAUUGGACAAUGGGCGCAAGCCUGAUCCAGCAAUGCCGCGUGUGUGAAGAAGGCC